UCGGGUGUGAAAACUUGAGGCUCAACCUCGAGAGGCCACUCGAUACUGCUGUGACUAAAGUCCGGUAGAGGAGUGUGGAAUUCCUGGUGUAGCGGUGAAAUGCGCAAAUAUCAGGAGGAACACCGACGGCAAAGGCAGCACUCUGGGCCGGUACUGACGCUGAGGAGCGAAAGCAUGGGGAGCAAACAGGAUUAAAUACCCUGGAAUCCCAUGCCGUAAACAUUGGGCACUAGGUGUGGGGUCUCGCUAACUGAUUCCGUGCCGCAUCUAACGCAUUAAGUGCCCCGCCGGGGGAGUACGGCCGCAAGGCUAAAACUCAAAUGAUUUGACGG
rnacentral:rRNA from 1 species